UCCCCCAGCCCGUGACAACCUCCCUUCCACGUUUCGUCUCUCAGUUUGACCUGCUAGGUACUGAGAUCUCCUAGGUACUGAGACUUCCUCGGUGCUGAGGUCUCCUCAGUGCUGAGACCUCCUAGGUACUGAGGUCUCGUAGGCACUGAGGUCUCCUAGGUCCUGAGACCUCCUCGGUACUGAGGUCGCCUUGGUGCUGGGACCUCCUAGGUCCUGAGCCCUCCUAGGUACUGAGACCUCCUAGGCACUGCGAUCUCCUAGGUACUAAGACCUCGUCGGUACUGAGGUCGCCUCGGUGCUCAGACCUCCUAGGCACUGAGAUCUCCUAGGGUACUGAGACCUCCUCGGUGUUGUGACCUCCUCGGUACUGAGGUCUCCUAGGUCCUGAGACCUCCUCGGUGCUGAGGUCGCCUCGGUGUUGUGACCUCCUAGGUACUGAGGUCUCCUAGGUCCUGAGACCUUCUAGGCACUGAGACCUCGUGGAUACUGAGGUCGCCUCAGUACUGAGACUUUCCAGGUACUGAGGUCUCCUAGGCACUGAGGCCUUCCCCUGUCGGAGGUGGGAAACUACUGGGAGGUAGAGCAGAACCAACACCUUCCCCUGAGGGUGGUGGGCUGAGCCGUGUCUUCCUUUCUAGGGGUCUUCUAUUCAUGCCAUCCAUGAGAGACCCCCGUACUCUUCUGACGCAUUCCCAUGUUGCUGAAGACUCAGUGUCGUCUUUGUUACUGUGACGUUGUGUGUUCGCGGUGUGCUGCAGUAUAUUCUGUUUUUCCAGCGUAUCCAAGGAGACGUGUAGUGCCUAAGAGCUUCUCGUGGGUGCUGUACUGAAACAUUACAACGAGACGGCGUCCCUGCGAGGCUCCCGAGGGAGGGAGCAGGAAGAUCCAGGCGGCAUCUUGAAGGUACAGCGUGUUCACAAAUCUCCCAGGCCACAAGCAAGGAGCCAGCCGGCUCUGAAUUCUCCAGCACAGUCAGGGCGCAAGUCAAAGGCUUCCGAUCAGACCUCAAGAGAUCCCGCAGGAAGUCCUGACGUUCACAGCAAGCAGGGCUCUGUGCGGGCCAACACGCCGCCCAUGGGUGCUCUGGAAAAUCACGUGAAGAUGGUGCAACGGGGAGAGUUAGAGAGCCCUAAAAGCAAGUCUCAGGCCAGAUUCUGCCACGUGCCUCGUUUGCAAACAAGCCCUAAAGAUAUCCCCAAAAGAUAUAGGACGUUAUUUGGAAACAGGAUACUUGCAGAUGUAAUCAAGCUGAGAUGAGGUCAUCCAGGAGUAGGGUAGGCUAUAAAUCCAAUGCGUGGUGUCCUUACCGGAGAAGGGGAAAGACAGAAAACGCACAGAGAGCAGGCCACGUGGAGACAGAGGCAGGGACUGGAGGGAGGCAGCCACACGCCCAGGGACGCCUGGAGCCCCCAAGGAGCUGGGAGAGGCGGGAAGGAGCCUUCCCUAGAGCCUUGAGAGGGAGCACGGCCCUCUGACUUCUGCCCCCAGCACCGUGAGGAUAAAUAUCUUUUAAGCCCUGUUUGCUGGAGCGGCCCCAGAAAAUACACACACCCUUAGAGACCAGACUGGCAACAUUUAGAGUCUGCAUCGGGACCCCCGAAAUCCUCAAUCAGUGUGUGGUCCGAGGACGGCUGGAGAGCCACGUCUGGACCAUCCCUGUGGCCGUGGCCUGAGCGCCCUGCACCUGAGCCCCGGCCUGCCCCGGGUCUGAUGCUUUCCAGCCUGUGCCUGUGGGGGUGGGAGGGGCUGGUGUCUCUCAGACAACCUCCUGAUACUGGUGUAAACCAAACAUAGAAUUCUAAGCCCCUCAGCUGACUGAAUGGACCCCCUUUCUGGCCAAGGGGAUCCCAAAGGAACCUGAAAAGGUAGCUCAGGCUGUGACAGGAAGAGGGAGUCAAACAGGCCUCGUGAUACCAUCCUCCCUUUGGAACUCAGGCACAACUGACCAGCAUUCGUGUGAAAACAGAGAUCGUAACGUGGGCACAACGGACUCGCUGUAGCAAUAAGAUAUCAAAUUCCAACUGGACUCUAGUAUUAUAGAAUGAGACCACCACUUCUCCUGUUGUCCUUCCCAGCUUUUCCCUGUCUCCCCUUUUCCCUACUUUAUAAGACAGGAGAAGGGGGAGAAAGCAAAAAGUUGGAAAGAAACAGAAGAUAGGCCGGGCGCAGUGGCUCAAGCCUGUAAUCCCAGCACUUUGGGAGGCCGAGACGGGUGGAUCACGAGGUCAGGAGAUCGAGACCAUCCUGGCUAACAUGGUGAAACCCCGUCUCACUAAAAAUACAAAAAAUU
rnacentral:lncRNA from 1 species